rnacentral:rRNA from 1 species
ACGAACGCUGGCGGUGUGCUUAACACCUGCAAGUCGAACGGAAAGGCCCUGCUUUUGUGGGGUGCUCGAGUGGCGAACGGGUGAGUAACACGUGAGUAACCUGCCCUUGACUUUGGGAUAACUUCAGGAAACUGGGGCUAAUACCGGAUAGGAGCUCCUGCUGCAUGGUGGGGGUUGGAAAGUUUCGGCGGUUGGGGAUGGACUCGCGGCUUAUCAGCUUGUUGGUGGGGUAGUGGCUUACCAAGGCUUUGACGGGUAGCCGGCCUGAGAGGGUGACCGGCCACAUUGGGACUGAGAUACGGCCCAGACUCCUACGGGAGGCAGCAGUGGGGAAUAUUGCACAAUGGGCGGAAGCCUGAUGCAGCAACGCCGCGUGCGGGAUGACGGCCUUCGGGUUGUAAACCGCUUUCGCCUGUGACGAAGCGUGAGUGACGGUAAUGGGUAAAGAAGCACCGGCUAACUACGUG